UACGUAGGUGGCAAGCGUUGUCCGGAAUUAUUGGGCGUAAAGCGCGCGUAGGCGGAUUGGAAAGUUGGGGGUGAAAUCCCGGGGCUCAACCCCGGAACUGCCUCCAAAACUAUCAGUCUAGAGUUCGAGAGAGGUGAGUGGAAUUCCAAGUGUAGAGGUGAAAUUCGUAGAUAUUUGGAGGAACACCAGUGGCGAAGGCGGCUCACUGGCUCGAUACUGACGCUGAGGUGCGAAAGUGUGGGGAGCAAACAGG
rnacentral:misc_RNA from 1 species